UGGGGAAUAUUGCACAAUGGGGGAAACCCUGAUGCAGCGACGCCGCGUGAGCGAAGAAGGUUUUCGAAUCGUAAAGCUCUGUCCUAUGAGAAGAUAAUGACGGUAUCAUAGGAGGAAGCCCCGGCUAAACACGUGCCAGCAGCCGCGGUAAUACGUAUGGGGCGAGCGUUGUCCGGAAUUAUUGGGCGUAAAGGGUACGUAGGCGGUCUAUUAAGUCAGGUGUGAAAGCGUGAGGCUUAACCUCAUUAAGCACUUGAAACUGAUAGACUUGAGUGAAGGAGAGGAAAGUGGAAUUCCUAGUGUAGCGGUGAAAUGCGUAGAUAUUAGGAGGAAUACCGGUGGCGAAGGCGACUUUCUGGACUUUUACUGACGCUCAGGUACGAAAGCGUGGGGAGCAAACAGG
rnacentral:rRNA from 1 species